GAUGAACGCUAGCGGCAGGCCUAAUACAUGCAAGUCAAGGGGAUAGCAAUAUCACCGGCGGACGGGUGCGUAACGCGUACACAACGUGCCCAAGGGCGGAGGAAAGCGGCGGGAAACUGCCGGUAAUACUCCAUGGUGUUGUUGAGUGGCAUCACUUAACAACUAAAGUACAAGCGCCCUUGGAUCGGUGUGCGUUCGAUUAGCUAGUUGGCGGGGUAACGGCCCACCAAGGCUCCGAUCGAUAGGGGGUGUGAGAGCAUGACCCCCCACACGGGUACUGAGACACGGACCCGACUCCUACGGGAGGCAGCAGUAAGGAAUAUUGGACAAUGGGCGAAAGCCUGAUCCAGCCAUGCCGCGUGAAGGACGAAGGCGCUCAGCGUUGUAAACUUCUUUUGGAUGGGAACAAUAACUCCGACUUGUCGGAACUUGAGGGUACCAUCAGAAUAAGCACCGGCUAACUCCGUGCCAGCAGCCGCGGUAAU
rnacentral:rRNA from 1 species